AGCUGAGGCAGAACAAGACUUAGAGGACCCCUGAUGCAGCUGCAGACCAGAGGCUGAAUCUUUUCCAUAUUCAUGAGGGCAGCACUACUGCGAGGCUGGGUAGUGGGAAGUGACUCAGGGCUGGUGUAAAUCACUCAGCAGGAAGAUGAGACAACGGAGGAAGUGAGUGAUCUUUACCUCUCAGCCAAGGGAUGCAAUUAUCCAGGACUCGGGCACAGACAGGAAGCUCGGCUCUGCUCUCCUGGUGCCUUUCCUGGGGCCUGGCGGCCUCCCCCUCUUUGCAGUGCCCCCGGUGGGCGUCUGGGAUCCACGUUCUGCCUUCUGGGCUGGCACCACUCCAGUCAGGCCUCAGAGCGCUAGAGAGACGGUGGCUCCUGUCGCCAAUCUGCACACACGAGAGGCCAGGAGCGGCUCCCAGCCACACCCUUGGACGUCGCUUAGUAAGGUCUCCGGUCUGAGCUUCUCUGGGUCCAAGGAGUGGGGCUGAGCUAGUAUUUGAGAGGUUUAUAACCAACUUGUGAUGCAGUUGGAAAGAGAAGCAUGCUCAAGGUGUCAGAUUAAAUGUCGAAGAAACUGAGGGCCAGGAGGGAUAAUUGUGAGCUGGAGUCAAACUGGAGAGGCAUAAGGGAAGGUCACAGUCUAGAAGGGUCUGGAAGCCAGGACAUCCCUCAUUCAUUCAUUCAACAAGACGCAGGCCAACUAGGGAGAUGGUGACAAGGAGGGUGUGAGACCCCCAGAAGCAGCUGGCUGUGCAGGAGUUCUGAUUCCUGAUCAGCAGGGCAGGCGCAGGAACGCUCAGGAUGGAGGCUUCUGGACCCCCACCGCUGCUCCAAGAUCACAGCUGGAAGCAGCUCUUCAUCCUCCAGGGAGCCUGGAAGGUUUCCCCUGUGAGUCCCCACCCACCAAGCUUCCCUUCCAUCUCCACCUCCCUCCUGCCUCUGGUGAGGACCCAAGGAGAAGACUGGGGGUUCUAGCUGUGUCUACUCAGGUGCGUCCAUUUUCAUACAAAUGACUCAAGGUUACCGUUCUGUACAGCAGAGUAGUGCUCCAUGGUAUACUGAAGUAAGGACACCCCGGGAUUAGCAGGGCCUCUCCUUCCCUCCUCCCCCUGAGUCUAUGCCUCACCCUCUCUGGCAUCCUCUCACGCGCUAUCCAAGCGUGACUUCCUGUGUAGCAGUGAACCACCGACCGGCUCAGCUGAUUCUCCUGGACUCAUUCAUUCACCCGGCAGAUCAUAUUCCAAGCCUGGGGCUCUGCGGUGAAGCCUGCUCCUCAGAUGCACUUAAUUCUUCCACGCCCUAAAGUCUGAGAGUGGUUUUCAUGUUUCAGAAGUACUUUCUGGCUGCUGUUUGGCAUGAUCUCACAGUGGCUUCUCCUGGUUGCUUUGUGCCUGGUGUGGCCGCAGGUGUGGGGAGGGUCCUGGGAGUGCUGACCCCCACCCUGCUUUCCAAGCUUCUUCUCAGACUUCGAAGCUAAGACCACGCCUCUCCAAGCCUGUUGCACACGGGAUCUGGAGGUGACUUAGGCUCUGCCCUGGCACAGCUUGGACUCUGAGCUUUUGGGGAGAAGUAGGGCCUUCACUUCGCUGGUGUGGCCCAUCCAGGGCAGAGGAGGGGUGGAGACAGCAAGGGACACAGCUGUCUUGGUUUUCUGUAGCUUUGGGAGUUAUUCUUGGAUGUUCGUACUGGAAUCUGUUUCAUUACCCUUCGCAGUGAUUCUGUGAGCACUUCAUAAUUUCUAAAACCUCCCUCUUACUUAAUAAGUGCGGUGGGUUGAAUGGCGCUUAGCCUAGGAAAAGGAAAGAAGAGAGGCAUGCAUGUGGGGCUUGUGAAUGUGACCAUAUUUGGAAAAGGGGCCUUCGGAGUUGCAAUUAGGUUAAAGACCUUGAGAUGAGAAGAUCACUUUGGGUCACUUGGGUGGGCCUGAAAUCCAGCACGGGUGUCCUGCUUAGAAGAGAGGAUGCAGACCAGAGAAGACCUUGUGUAGAGAGAGGAGUUGGGCGUGGUGUAGUUGCAAAGGAGCUUGGGAGUGCCAGGAGCCACUGGAAGCUCUGAGAGGCAGAAGGAGCCUUCGUGGAGCCUUUGGGGACAGCGUGGCCUGCGGACACCUCGAUCUUGGCCUUCUGGCCUGCAUGACCUUGAGAGAGGAGGUCUCUGUUGCUUCAGCCGCUCGGCGGGUGGUGCGCACUUGGCAGCCUCAGGGAGCUGGUGCCUUUAGCUGCAGAGGACUGGGUUUCUGCAGUGGAAGCGUGACCCUCGGGUGUUGUCUGUCACAGCUGCCUCUAGCACUGAUGGCGGAGGCAUUCCCAAACACCACCCCGGCCUGGGGAGGGCGCAGAGCCGCAGCUUUGUGAAAUCCUGGCUUUCCAGAACCCCUGUUCCUCGGAGCUGCUGGGCACACCUCAUAGGGUCUUCACUCCCGACCUGUCGCUUCAUCCACUUCUGCUGGUGGCGCAGGAGGGUGCCUGGUGACAAAUAUGUCUUCUUAUACCCAGCGUCUCUUCCUGUCCUCAGUGGAGGAAGUGGAUACAACUAAACUGGCUCCAGACAGGGUCCUCAGAAUGCCCCAGUCCAUCGGUAUGGAGGAUAACUUCCGCCAAGCCCUCUCCUUUCCUGAACCAGUCGAAUUGAUGAUUGCUCUCUCAGUCCUUUUCAGCCACUGCAGUGGCACACCCCGGCCAGGCGGCUAAGCUGGUGUCUCUCAGGGCUGGAAGCCAGAAGUCCAAGGCCAAGACUAGGCAGCGGUGAGGGGCAUCCUUGGCUUGCAGACAGAUUCUCACUGUGUCCCCUUAAGACAGGAGCAGGAGCCUCACGUCUUUCCAUCGGGCACGACUCUGACUCAAGAGGGCUCCAGGCCGCACCAUCUAAUCAGCCCUCCCACCCUCUAGCGCUCUCACGUUGGGGUUUCGGCUUCAGCAGGCGGAUUUGGGGACACAUACUCUGUCCUUAAUCGCUACCCGACCAAAAAGGCCUCUAAGCGUGUUUCUAUCCUAGGCAAAAACAACAUGCCCUGCACCUGGACAGACAAAUAUUUCUACCAAAGAUAAAUUCUGCUGCUUCCUUAAAGUGACAAGCGAGUACAGCAGGAUCUCCUGUGCAUCCUGGGUCUCGCAGUACUCAAGGCUCAGGAGAAGGAGGACUCUCCCAGCCCUGGUUCAAACUCCUGGUGGAUCCUCCCAGACUCCUUUUCCCCUCUCUGCUGCCUGCCUUCAGUCCUUUGUCUGCAGUGCUUACGGGAAGCAAGCAAACAAAUGCCCCGAAUUUGGCUGAUCUUUGUAAAAAUAAAUUCCCAGAUGAUCCUCGAAUCAUUUAAAAAGUGAUGGAAGUGCGGCUGGGCAGCACUUCAUCUGCCUCGCAGCCCGACUUGGGUAGCAGGCGUUUGUUGCCCUUCUGCGUCUCCUGUCUUCUGAGCAAGCUUUGCACACAGGCCGGGCACCCUGUCAGCCCAGCCUUGCUGAAGGUAGCACCAGCUCUUCCCACUUCCUCGAUCGGUUUUACUAGUUUGUCAACUCGCCAGCCGGAAGGAAUUGCGUUGAUGAGCACAGAAAACCUCCCCAGGGAGUGACAGCUGUUAGCAGGCUGCCUCUGGAGCUGAGGGCGCCAGCCUUGGCCAGCUCGAGGGUUCUGUCUGCACCAAGAAACUGAUGAGACCUCCAGCUGUUCCCUGCCGUCAAUCUUAUUUUGCUCUUUAAAUUAUUUAUAUUUCGGGUUUCUCAUAUCAGACCAUGUAUAUUUAAACUUCUGUGUCUGGUUUAUUUUAGUUAGCAUCGUCUCACACUCCAUCCAUUUUCCUCCAGUUCACUCAAAAUUAACCUUGUUUAUGGCUGAGUAGUACUCUAUUACGUCUGUAUACCACAUUUUAAAAUUCAUUCUCGUGUGAAUGGGCCCCUAGGUUUGUCUAUUGCAAGAUGGAAGAGAGGUGGUCAUUAAUAGGGAGGCUGACUGUGGAGAUGGGAAGGGGAUCUGAGGACAGGAGGGGGAGUGGAAUAUACACAUAUGUAUCUCCAGUUCUCCAAGAUGAAUGUGAUUAUUCUGUAUUGCAAAUACAUACUAAUAAAAAAU
ensembl:lncRNA